CAGUCGUACCGACGAGAAAUCAGCUUAUCGUGUGUAAACUUGUGGGCGUGCGUGAGUUUCGGCCUCGCUGUUUGCAUGUUUGUGCUCUUUGGGUGUACUUUUUCGUAUGGUAGGCCAACAUCAGUUUCGAUUACUAUAAAAUGACUGGCGGAAUGUAGCUUCGAUUUCGGUUGAAGUGUUAUAGCCUCUGGUAGAUGUGGUGAUUGGGACUGAGGAUUGCAACGAAUAUCCUUUGGGCUUAUCCGCCUGGCCUCUGAAAGUUGCUUAGGUGCUGGAAGUUCGAUUAUGGUUAUCUAAGCUAACGGUUAAUAGGUUAGAACGUGAUUACA
rnacentral:rRNA from 1 species